rnacentral:misc_RNA from 1 species
CAGAGUUGAAAAACUCCCAAACCCUUUGUGAAUCUACCUAUUGUUGCUUCGGUAGGCGGCCCCAGGGCGGGGCCAUGGUCUCUUACGAGGCGCCUGCCGGAGGUAUAAGACUAUAUGUACUGUAUCUUCUGAGCUUAAAAAAAUAAGUCA